rnacentral:rRNA from 1 species
CAGCCGCCGCGGGAAUACAGAGGGUGCGAGCGUUAAUCGGAUUUACUGGGCGUAAAGCGUGCGUAGGCGGCUUCUUAAGUCGGAUGUGAAAUCCCUGAGCUUAACUUAGGAAUUGCAUUCGAUACUGGGAAGCUAGAGUAUGGGAGAGGAUGGUAGAAUUCCAGGUGUAGCGGUGAAAUGCGUAGAGAUCUGGAGGAAUACCGAUGGCGAAGGCAGCCAUCUGGCCUAAUACUGACGCUGAGGUACGAAAGCAUGGGGAGCAAAUAGGAUUAGAUACCCGUGUAGUCCCUGUCUCUUAUAA